rnacentral:lncRNA from 1 species
CAAGAUCAGGAAGUGUUCUUAUUUGUAGUAAGUUCAUUCUAUUCAAAUUAGGUAUCCUUUGGAAUAGGAAACGUUUUCAGCCAUUGUACAUUAUUGAACUUUUAUUUUGUCUACCGUGUACAAAGUACCUGUGAGAUGGGGAUACAAAGACAUUUUCCAAAUUUUGGGCUCCAGUCGAUUCUUGUGUAUUACGCUGUGAGCAAGACUUGCAUGUCGUCACAGAGAACGGGGCACUAUCCCUGAUAAAGAUUGUGGGAGUUGGCUUCCUACAGCAUCGAUCACAUGGCUUUAACCCACGAGCAAGAUGGCUGAAGCUGAAGAAUGGGCUGGAUCACAAAAAUAGAUUUUCUGUCUGAGGUUUAAUAUGCUUUCUUUCUUUCUUUCUUUCUUUCUUUUUUUUUCUGAAGACUGAGUCUAGCUCUGUCACCCAGGCUGGAGUGCAGUGGCACUAUCUCAGCUCAC